rnacentral:rRNA from 1 species
AGCUCCAAGAGCGUAUAUUAAAGUUGUUGCAGUUAAAAAGCUCGUAGUUGGAUUUCUGGUACAAUGCGCCUGGCCCGCGGCAGUAAUGCCUGUGAGUGCCGGUGCGCGUUUGCCAUCCUUCUAGAAAACGUUUCUACCCUUUACUGGGCCGGACUCGCGAUCUAGAUCUUUUACUUUGAAAAAAUUAGAGUGUUCAAAGCAGGCUUUUGCUGUGAAUACAUUAGCAUGGAAUAAUAAUCUAGGACUUCGGUUUUAUUUUGUUGGUUUCUAACACUGAAGUAAUGAUUGAUAGUGGCCGGCCAGAGGUGAAAUUCUUGGAUUCGGUCAAGACUAACUUAUGCGAAAGCAUUCACCAAGGAUGUCUUCU